rnacentral:rRNA from 1 species
AUACGUAGGGGACGAGCGUUGUCCGGAAUUACUGGGCGUAAAGGGCGCGCAGGCGGAUAUUUAAGUCAGCUGUAAAAGGCAUGAGCUCAACUCAUGUAUGCGGUUGAAACUGGGUAUCUAGAGUGCUGGAGAGGUAGGCGGAAUUCCCGGUGUAGCGGUGAAAUGCGUAGAUAUCGGGAAGAACACCAGUGGCGAAGGCGGCUUACUGGCCAGCAACUGACGCUGAGGCGCGAAAGCCAGGGGAGCGAACGGGAUUAGAUACCCUAGUAGUCCACGCUGUAAACGAUGACAACUAAAUAUUGCCGCGAGGCAGUGUUGAAGCUAACGCAUUAAGUUGUCCGCCUGGGGAGUACGGUCGCAAGACUGAAACUCAAAGGAAUUGACGGGG